ensembl:lncRNA
CGUAUUAUCUGUCCUACCACUCAUCAUCAGUAUUAUGAAAGCGUCAUGUCACAAUUAUGUUUUAUCGUUGUGUUUCUCUUCAGUUCAUGUAACAGCACGGGUCGGUGAAGAAGUGAUGUUUGAUGAUCUGCCGCGUGAUGCUGAGAGCGUUGAGUGUUUAACAAACACCGGCUCGAUAGAUGUGUGGAGGAGAGAGCAGGGUGUCCUGACUGAUCGACUGACUGACAAUGAUGGUCACCUGAUCAUUAAAAACUUCAGAUCAAGUGACGCUGGAACAUACAGAGUCCUGGACUCAACAGGAGGAGUCCUGGUCACCGUGACGCUCACAGAAUGGGGUACAGAAUCAAAGGACAAACAGGACAGCACACGUGAUGACAAAACUGAAGAUGUUUGUAUUGCGGUGCUGGUUCUGGUGGCUCUGAUUGCGUUUACUGUCUUCAUGAUCCAUCGAUGUCUGAACAGGAACAAGGAACAAGGAACAAGGAACAAGGGAUCCCAAUGCAAGAAACUACACAGGGGCCCAGAUCACCAAACAACAGCAGUGGUCACUUGGUGCCUGAUGUUUUUCCUGCUGCUUGACCUGCCUGGUGCUUCUUCUCUAACAGUGACGGGACAAAAGGGCGGCAAUAUUACCCUGCGGUGUAAUUCCAGCAACAGAGAGGAAUUAUACAUGGUUCUGACUUUUGGGUCCAAAACUGCUUAUGGUACUGGUCAGAGUAAAUAUUAUGAGCACCGUGUGCACAAGAGUGGCAACUGUGAGCUCAUUCUGCAAGACUUGAAGACCACUGAUGCUGGAAAAUAUAACUUUAAAGUUUAUGCCAGCGGUCAACUACUAGGAAGCUACAUUUUUGACAUCUGUGUUAAUGGUAAGGUCAAAACUGAUUUAAAUAUUGAUUUGGGAUUUUUGUUGCUUUUAUUUGGUACCAGUGUUUAUUUCAUAUUACAUGUCAUGCAUCAUCAGUAUUAUGAAAGCGUCAUGUCACAAUUAUGUUUUAUCGUUGUGUUUCUCUUCAGUUAAUUUAACAGCACGGGUCGGUGAAGAAGUGAUGUUUGAUGAUCUGCCGCGUGAUGCUGAGAGCGUUGAGUGUUUAACAAACACCGGCUCGAUAGAUGUGUGGAGGAGAGAGCAGGGUGUCCUGACUGAUCGACUGACUGACAAUGAUGGUCACCUGAUCAUUAAAAACUUCAGAUCAAGUGACGCUGGAACAUACAGAGUCCUGGACUCAACAGGAGGAGUCCUGGUCACCGUGACGCUCACAGGUGAGAGAAGAUUGAUGGAUGUUUAGAAAUAUUAAUUAU